rnacentral:rRNA from 1 species
UACGUAGGGGGCUAGCGUUGUCCGGAUUUAUUGGGCGUAAAGAGCGUGUAGGCGGCCAAGUAGGUCCGGUGUGAAAACUCGAGGCUUAACCUCGAGAUGUCAUCGGAAACCAUUUGGCUAGAGUCCGGAAGAGGAAAGUGGAAUUCCUGGUGUAGCGGUGAAAUGCGCAGAUAUCAUGAGGAAUACCAGAGGCGAAGGCGGCUACCUGGACAAUUGCUGACGCUCAGGCACGAAAGCGUGGGGAGCAAAAGGG